rnacentral:rRNA from 1 species
UGCGUAGGUGGUUUCUUAAGUCAGAGGUGAAAGGCUACGGCUCAACCGUAGUAAGCCUUUGAAACUGGGAAACUUGAGUGCAGGAGAGGAGAGUGGAAUUCCUAGUGUAGCGGUGAAAUGCGUAGAUAUAUGGAGGAACACCGGUGGCGAAAGCGGCUCUCUGGUCUGUAACUGACACUGAGGCUCGAAAGCGUGGGAGCAAACA